GAUGAACGCUAGCGGCAGGCUUAAUACAUGCAAGUCGUGGGGCAGCAUGAAUGUAGCAAUACAUUUGAUGGCGACCGGCAAACGGGUGCGGAACACGUACACAACCUUCCUAUAAGUGGGGAAUAGCCCAGAGAAAUUUGGAUUAAUACCCCGUAACAUAAUGAUAUGGCAUCAUAUUAUUAUUAUAGCUUCGGCGCUUAUUGAUGGGUGUGCGGCUGAUUAGAUAGUUGGCGGGGUAACGGCCCACCAAGUCUACGAUCAGUAGCUGAUGUGAGGGCAUGAUCAGCCACACGGGCACUGAGAAACGGGCCCGACUCCUACGGGAGGCAGCAGUAAGGAAUAUUGGUCAAUGGACGCAAGUCUGAACCAGCCAUGCCGCGUGAAGGAUUAAGGUCCUCUGGAUUGUAAACUUCUUUUAUCUGGGACGAAAAAAGGCUUUUCUAAGUCACUUGACGGUACCAGAUGAAUAAGCACCGGCUAACUCCGUGCCAGCCGCCGCAGUAACAC
rnacentral:rRNA from 1 species